rnacentral:rRNA from 1 species
UACGAAGGGCGCGAGCGUUAUUCGUUUUGAUUGGAUGUAAAGGGUACGUAGGCAGCCUGCAGGAAAUUCAGACCAAAAGCGCAGAGAGUUCCUAUGCGACGGUAUGUUGAAAUGCGGCUUGUGGCAGGACAGGGUUUGAAGAAUUUUUUAGGGAGGAGUAAAAUCCUACGAUCUAAGAACGAAGACCAGCAAGCGAAGGCGUCAUUCUAGUUCUGCCAGACGCUAAGGUACGGAAGUCCAGGGAGCAAACAGA